GGGAAAGCUGGGAGGAGGGGAAGGAGAUGUAACAUACUGAGCCGAGAGCACUCAGGGAAAUAAAGGAUCUAUUUUUUUUUCCAUUUGUUCUCAGCAAACAUUUGUCAUUUGAUUUCUUCCUAAUUACACAAUUACGUAAUUAUGUAGUAUUAGUAAAAUAAAGCCUAAAGACGUUUGAGUAAAGAAUUACUUAAGUAAAUAAUGGCUGACUAAAGUAAUUAUUUCCGGGGAUUUCUUUUUUAAAGUAGAAUUGGAUGAAAUUAGUCCAGGCAUUGUUGCGGAGCUGAGUGGGAGUGGGGACUGUACAGCCAGGGGGCAGAGAUAAGGCUCCCCUGGUCCUCCUGGGGUUUAGCUCCCAGCAUCUUGGAACUUUCCUCCCUCUGUAGAUGAGACUCUGAUGGCAAAUUCCAGCUCUGCUAUUGGCUAGUGGCUUGGGAACUACCUUCCGUUUUGAGCCACACUGGGCCUGUCAGAAGGGCUUGUUCCUGCCCCAGUGGGAAAGGAGGAAGAGGAUGAAGUUCAGGGCAGAAGGAAGUACUCAGUUACUGAGGGCUGUGCCUCGGCCUCCCCAGGUUUACGAAGAGGCAGCGAGACAUGAGACCACCAGGUCCGUAAAGAGACCACCCCCCAGCUGCAGGGUGAGGGACUAGGUCCUGUGAAGUGCUGGGAGUUAUAUGGUGGCAGAGGUGGACGGAGGAUCUCAGGGCUGCAAAGCUACGUGGAGACCUUAUGUGGACAGGUCGCCCGGGGUCAGGUGCAGUUUGCCCUGGGCGUUUCCUUCUUGGCUUGCAGGGCUGCAGAAAACACAGUUUUCUUCAAGGUUGGCACUCAGCUCCCCUAAGCCCGGUAGACUUUGACCUGGCAGUGUGCUUAAGUGGGAAGGAAGCAGCCCUCCCAGAAGGGGCAGGGAGGCCUGGGAUGAAGGGAACUCUUGGAUGGGGCUGGUGGUGAUACUGCCAGAGCACAUCCUGGAUGCCUGGUUCAAUCUGCCCUUGAUGAGACCAGAGGUCAGCUCUCAAGACACGAGCCUCUUUUCUCCACACUUCAGAGUUUGGUGAAGGACUGACCCAGCAGCUUCUUAUAGAAGGAGAUUCCUGGGGGAUCAGUCCGACCUGUGCUCCCUCCAUCUUUCCCCUGUUCCCAUCACUACAGUGCUUGCUCAUCCUUCAGAAGACAGUCACUCAUUCCUUUGAUCUGGAGGGCUUGUCCCUCUCUGAAAUCCUCCUAGUGCAAUGGAGCCCCAGACAAGGUAAGUCCUUAAGACUUCUCAGCUUUCUCCUUAGGACAACAGAACCAAUAUAUUCCUCCCCUGGAGCUGUGUUUUAGUUUCCUGAGGACUUGCAGUCCCUGCUGAGGCCCUGGGAAGCUGAGGUAUAUGUCACUGAUCUUCUGUACUUCUGGUGCUGGUGGGUGUCAGACACAGUUGGGGAUCACGCCGCCCUGCCUGCUGCAAAUCUCUGAGAGCUCGAAGGAGACCAGCUUGAACAUGAAGCAGGUAAGCCUUCUCAGCCUUCUCACUGGGGCCAUGGCUUUGGGCCUGUGAUUGGCAGUUCAUUGACACCAGCAUCCUUUGAGAAAGGAACAUAGAAGAGGCUUCUGGAAAGUUACUAAAGCCACGGGAGAGUAUUGGAAAGGAAUGCUGACACGGUCCUUCAGGCCAAAAACUGUAAGAAGCACUGGGAGAGAAUAUGAGCUCCAAUGACUCAGCUAUACAACUGCUUCCUCUCCUCCUGCCUGGCAAGACCCCAGGAGAGGUUUCCAAGACAUUGGUCUGUCUGCGGGGUUGUGCCAGGACCCAGCACACCCUCUUAUAUCGGCAGAGAGCAAGAUUAAUUGAGCACCCAUCAUGUGCUAGAGACAAAGAAGUUUAACAGACAUUUUCCAGGCCUGAUGAAGGACCAUUGAGAGGGUGGUAAUACUUCAUCAAAGACAACAAAAUAAAAUUUCCCUCUUAUUUA